CAAAUCAAUAAUAUUAUUAUUUACAUUAAUAAUUUGAUUGUGAAUUCAAUCUGAUUUGA
rnacentral:tRNA from 1 species